rnacentral:rRNA from 1 species
UACGGGGGGGGCAAGCGUUGUUCGGAAUUACUGGGCGUAAAGGGUUCGUAGGUGGCCAACUAAGUCAGACGUGAAAUCCCUCAGCUUAACUGGGGAACUGCGUCUGAUACUGGUUGGCUUGAGUGCAGGAGAGGAAUGCGGAAUUCCAGGUGUAGCGGUGAAAUGCGUAGAUAUCUGGAGGAACACCGGUGGCGAAGGCGGCAUUCUGGACUGUAACUGACACUGAUGAACGAAAGCCAGGGUAGCAAACGGG